rnacentral:tRNA from 1 species
GCCGACCUAGCUCAACUGGCAGAGCAAUGCUUUCGUAAAGCAGAGGUUCCGGGUUCGAUUCCCGGGGUCGGCUCAA